CUUCCUGCAAUAAUUGGCUCCGAGGUACCAGAGGAUGAGAAAGCUUGGGAGAUUAAAAGUGUCGCUGAAGCGUUAGUUCAAAAACAUCCUUUCCUGGAGGAGUCUGGCUCCAAAAGUGACUGUGAUGGAUGGAGAGACAGCUUGGUGUUCAAAAUGGGCAAUUUUAGAUGCAAACUCAGCAAGUCAGCGUGUCCAGAAGUGAAAGUUAACAGUGGCAAGUAAAAGUAGCCCAGAGGGCAGCUCGCCACAUUGAAAGAUAAAGCGGCCUCGACGAGCAGAAGUAAACUUUCUCCCACAGCUUCCACAAGGUGAAACUGAAGAAAGUCUGGAGAGGUUGAGGGUUUUCCUUGUGGAGGAGUUGGAGGAAACGGACCAAGACAAGAUUGACUUAUCAUUGGUCAACAGCAGCAUGUGUAGGACCUUUGCAUUGAGACGUAAAGAGAUUGUUACCUUGAGCCCCACCAUAGAGCAUAUCCAAGACAGAUGGCCGGCACUUUUCCUCGAGGAACAAGUGUGGGUGGGGGGAUGUAAAGCAGUUUUCAUUUGCCUUUGUACUUUGUUUUAGGUAUGUGCAGAGUACCAUCCCAACACAAACCAGCAACUCCGGGAUAUGUUUUAUUCCAUGUUGGACCCACUCACAGAACGCUUGCUAGCCCUAUCCAGAACGAAGCAGGGAAAGACUGGAAGAAAUGGACAGGAGACAGCUGACAAUCUGAAUUAGUACUGCCAGCAACCAUGUGAUGUGAACACCGAUCGUUGUCCUCAGAUGUCUUCCAGCAAUUUUCCAAGAGGAUGACUCUGGAGUGUUCAUAACAUACAUGGAAGGUACAUCCCAAGACCCUGCAGCCAUCAAGAGACCAGCAGCCAUCAUCUCAGUCAUUGACGACGAUGGAGAUGUAGCUGCUGUGCCAUUCCAUUCAGGAAGAGUCUACGUGGUCCUUCAAGAGAAGGUGGUUAUAAAGGAUUUCCGGUGCUGGCCUGAUGCACUUGUAUGUUUGUACGGGCUAAUGUACUCACUCCAACAUGGAUACUCUAAUUGCAUGAAGAACAUGUUUGGGUUUGUACAAGAAGUGUUGUUAUGUUUGGAUGGAGACAGAAUGAAGCCAAUGGUCCUUGGUUGGAAAAACCAAUAGUAAAAUAAAAUACCAAAAACAUUUAUGGUGCUAAACAAUUGUAAAUAGUUACGUUAUCUUACAAGGAAAAAAGAUUAGAGAUAAAAAAAACUGAAGACGACUAAAUGUUUUGUAGGCAAAUGCCAACUAAAAUGUCUACCUGCAUUUGAUUUGAUCUGUGCCUUUAGUAAAACCGGUCACAAAAAUGAGAAAGUCAUGCAAUACUAUUGGCCUUUAAUCUAUUGAGUUUUAACAUGUAUAGAGAUACAAGAGUAACUUGACUUCAGUUGGUGUAGAGUUUAAUUGAAAGUGUUACUGUUUGGGAAAACUGAACAUUGGCAUUGUGAAGUUACCUUACAAAUCAGUGAUGAAGUUGUUGGCCUCAGCCUAAAUCUUUAUAUAUAGGAAGCUUUAGAGGCAUUGGCCAUAAAUCUCACAUUGCUGAUGUCAACAUGUGAAAAAUGGCUGAGGUCCCAGAGGAUGACAAUGGAUAGAGAAUCUUCAUGGAUUUGUAAGGAGAGGUCUUUUGCAUACCUGUGUAUUGUUGUGGACCGGUACAUAUAAGAAAGUUGGGGAAACAACAUUCGCACACACUGUCUACUUGCAUUUAGAACAUUUAUUUGUCAGUUUAAUGAUUUGGCCCUAGACCUUACUGUAGUCAGGAAUGAAGGUUUAGGACCGAAACAUUGUGUGCAUAAGUACAUUUUAUAAUCUGCAAGUAUAACUUUGUUUUGUAAACGUAAUGGAGUGAAAAUUGUCAUGGAGGAAGAAAUGUAAAAUAAAUCAACAUUAAUCUUCAUCUUAAACAGUUAAAUAUAGUCAAAUUGUUAGACUGUGAAAUGGAUGUUGGCACAUCCCUACCUCUUUAAUUUGAUUUUAUAUCUUCAGCACCACUUUCAAUUGAAUGGAAGCUACCACAUCAGUUGAAAGUGUUAAUUGGAGAAGGGUCAUUGUACUGUGCUCCUGUUUUAAUAGUUAAGUUGUUGAUAGAGAAUGUUGCAAUGUUACACAGUAUUGAAUUGAUUGGAAGAUGGGGUUUUGUUAUCUGAGCCUUUUAAAAGUUAAAGUUAAAGUUAAAGCAUAUGUUCAAAUGAGUCAUGCUGUACAUAAUUGGCAUUCAUCUAUUGAUGGAGGCUAAAAUAGAUUCAUUAUGUUUUGUGCAUUCAUGUAAUUAGAGAUUUGUGGUUCUGAAGAUACAGAACAUGUAAUUUUAUUUUUUAAGAAAAAACUGCUGUAAAGCUAACUUGCUUUAGAGGAGUUGACUGAAAGAAAGAACUUAUUUGAGUUACGUAACAAAAAUAUUAAGUUACACAGGACUA